rnacentral:rRNA from 1 species
UACGUAGGGGGCAAGCGUUGUCCGGAAUCAUUGGGCGUAAAGCGUGUGUAGGCGGCUCGGUAAGUCCGCUCUGAAAGUCCGGGGCUCAACCCCGGGAGGCGGGUGGAUACUGUCGAGCUAGAGUCCGGAAGAGGCGAGUGGAAUUCCUGGUGUAGCGGUGAAAUGCGCAGAUAUCAGGAGGAACACCAAUGGCGAAGGCAGCUCGCUGGGACGGUACUGACGCUGAGACGCGAAAGCGUGGGGAGCAAACAGG